AUUGAACGCUGGCGGCAGGCCUAACACAUGCAAGUCGAGCGGAGCUGCCGGCGGGCGAGUAAUGCAUAGGAAUCUGACUGGUAGAGGGGGAUGACAUCAGGUACAGGGCGCUAAGACCACAUACUAUUUGAUGUGCCUAGGACGGAUGAGCUAGUUGGUUGGGUAAAGGCCUACAAUGGCGCCGAUCCGUAACUGGUCUGAGAGGAUGAUCAGUCACACUGGAACUGAGACACGGUCCAGACUCCUACGGGAGGCAGCAGUGGGGAAUAUUGGACAAUGGGCGAAAGCCUGACGCAGCCAUGCCGCGUGUGUGAAGAAGGUCUUCGGAUUGUAAAGCACUGUAAGUUGGGAGGCGGUACCUACAGAAUAAGCACCGGCUAACUACGUGUCAGCAGCCGCGGUAAUAC
rnacentral:rRNA from 1 species